rnacentral:misc_RNA from 1 species
AAGUCGUAACAAGGUUUCCGUAGGUGAACCUGCGGAAGGAUCAUUAAUAAACGGCAAAGCUUUCGAGCCUAGCUUUUAUAACAUCUAUACACCUGUGAACGUAUUUGCCUUUGGGCAUAAACUUAGGCACAUAAUGUAAUGAAUGUAAUCUACUAUAAAUAAAUACAA